UCCAGUUUUAACAGCUUGGUUUAUACUUCAAGGUUGUGUGAAUUUCCUGGGAUUUUUUGGGGGGGAGUAACCUGAUAGAGAGUCACACAAAUCGUAAGUGUAUAGUUGGUUGAGUUAUCACAGAGUUAACACACCUAAGUAACAAUAGCCGGAUCAAGAACUAGGACAUGACAAUCGCCAAAAGCCCCUCUGGGGUUCACUUGUCCCUCCUCAAGGGCAACUACUCUCCUGACCUCUGUGCCCACUGAUGAGUUGUGUUUGCUUUUGGACUUGGUAUAAAUGGAGUUACACAGUAUGUAUUCUUUUGCCCCUGGCUUUAUUUUUUCAACAUUAUGCUUGAGCUUUGCCUAUGUUGUCAUCUGUAGCUGUCACUCACUCAUUUUCAUUUCUGUAUAGUAUAAUAGGUCCCUAGUAGCACAAUUUAUGCUUGACAGCUAACCUGAAGGUUGGUGGUUCAAACCCAUCUAGCAGUACCUUGGAAGAAAGGCCUGGUGAUCUGCUUCCAUUAAGAUUACAGCCAAGAAAACACUGUGGAGCAGUUCUACUCUGUAACACACGAGGCUGCCAUGAGUCGGAAUGGACUGAACGUCAACCAGCAAGAACAUGAGAAAUUAAGUACAGAAAGAAAAGCCAAACAAGAGAGAAGAGAAAGGUUAAAACUGCUGGACGCUGGAUUCACACAACAGAGACUGACCCCUCCACGUAGCGUCUUACUAGCUGUGUGAUUUUAAAUAAGUGCCUUAUUUCUCUAAGCGUCAAUUCUUUCAUCUCUCAGUGGAGACAGUGGUUGUACCCAUUUAUUAUGAGAGUUAUGAGCAAGAGUAUAGGAAAAAAACAAGUGCAAGAGCUUCCUCAUAAUCCUGGUUUGCUUGUGGUCAAAAACAGGAAUUAUGAGUCAUGAGCUCCAAAUUACCGGGAAUGAGCCAAGGUAAAAUGACAUCCCAAAGAUAAAGGUCAU